GCUGAAUUGUGUGUUACCCCCAUUGCAGGCAACAAAAAUCCGAAUUUUGGUUUGAUGACCAUAUUUGGCGUACAAUUCGAUAGAGUGUAUCAUUCUAUAACAAGUGUACGAGAUUUUUAGGAUUUCGAGAAUCUUUUGGGAUGUCUCAGGGAUUUUUUUUAAUUUUGUUUUGGGAUUUGUCAGGAAUGUAAAGAUAUUUUUAGGAUUUGUUGGGAUUGUUAAAGAAUUUCAGGAUUUUUUUCGAUUUUUUAGGGAUUUCAUACGGAUUUUUUUUCUGUUUGUUUUAGGAAUUUAUUUCAAAGGUGUACAAGACUCUUAGUGGGACAUAAACGGUCACACACAACCACAAACGGUCACACAUGUACCUAAACUGUUACACACGGUCAUGAACGGUCAGACAUGGUCACUUAUGGUCACAAACUGUCACACACGGUCUCACAUGGUCAUAAGCGGUCAUACACGGUCGCACACACAACCGCAAACGGUCACACAUGUUCCCAAACGGUCAGAC